rnacentral:rRNA from 1 species
UGAGGAAUAUUGGUCAAUGGACGAGAGUCUGAACCAGCCAAGUAGCGUGCAGGAUGACGGCCCUAUGGGUUGUAAACCGCUUUUGUUUGGGAAUAAUCGACAUUACGUGUAAUGUUUUGCAUGUACCAUAUGAAUAAGGACCGGCUAAUUCCGUGCCAGCAGCCGCGGUAAUACGGAAGGUCCAGGCGUUAUCCGGAUUUAUUGGGUUUAAAGGGAGCGUAGGCUGUUUGUUAAGCGUGUUGUGAAAUGUAAGAGCUCAACUUUUAGAUUGCAGCGCGAACUGGCAGACUUGAGUGCGCACAACGUAGGCGGAAUUCAUGGUGUAGCGGUGAAAUGCUUAGAUAUCAUGACGAACUCCGAUUGCGAAGGCAGCUUACGGGAGCGCAACUGACGCUAAAGCUCGAAGGUGCGGGUAUCGAACAGG